GUAGGUGCUGGUGAACGCGGCUCCCAGCAGGGAUCCAGUCAGCGUCAACCCGCACAGGUGCGAGUCCACGCAGCCCCUGGUGUGCAGCGACAGCGACCCCGUAGCGUUGAACUCUGAAACGAGCAUAAACAGCGAGCUGUGUUAAAUAACGUGAGGACAAGAUGGCGGCACAGAGGCCAGCAGUCAGAGACAACUGAACAGCCGAGGCUCCGUUGCACAGGAGGUGUUGGCCACGCAGCCCCGGCUGUACAGAGUGGGCGACCCUUUCGCUGUGAAGCCUAAGAGUGCCAGAAAACAGAAAUCAGAAUGUUAAGAAACAAGUGUUGGGUCUCUCCGUUGCCAAGGCAACCAAUACUGCUAUUACCCUAAAUUACAAAGUAAGUAAAUAUUUAUUUUAUUAACGUAAAUAUUUAUUUAUUUUAUUAACUGAAUAAUUAUGCAUUUAUUGUAAGUAUGUAUUCAUAAUUAGUUUGACUAAUUAAAAUUAGAAAAGUUUGCUUUAAUAAUAGCAUGACUAGAAUCAUUUAUUUUAAUUGACAUUUAAAAAAAAAAAUGCAUAUGUGUAUAUAUAUAUGAUUGGAGAAAGCCCCACACAACUUCUUUAUUACAUAUAAUCUUUCAAGUUAAAGCCACAGGGUACCAGAAA